rnacentral:rRNA from 1 species
GACGAACGCUGGCGGCGUGCUUAACACAUGCAAGUCGAGCGAUGAAGUUCCUUCGGGAAUGGAUUAGCGGCGGACGGGUGAGUAACACGUGGGUAACCUGCCUCAUAGAGGGGAAUAGCCUUUCGAAAGGAAGAUUAAUACCGCAUAAGAUUGUAGUAUCGCAUGAUACAGCAAUUAAAGGAGUAAUCCGCUAUGAGAUGGACCCGCGUCGCAUUAGCUAGUUGGUGAGGUAACGGCUCACCAAGGCGACGACGCGUGGCCGACCUGAGAGGGUGAUCGGCCACAUUGGGACUGAGACACGGCCCAGACUCCUACGGGAGGCAGCAGUGGGGAAUAUUGCACAACGGGGGAAACCCUGACGCAGCAACGCCGCGUGGAGGAUGAAGGUUUUCGGAUUGUAAACUCCUUUGAUCGGGGACGAAAAAAAUGACGGUACCCGAAAAACAAGCCACGGCUAACUACGUGCCAGCCGCCGCAGUAA